AGAAGUGCGAAUGCUGACAUGAGUAACGACAAUGGGUGUGAAAAACACCCACGCCGAAAGACCAAGGGUUCCUGCGCAACGUUAAUCGACGCAGGGUUAGUCGGUUCCUAAGGCGAGGCUGAAAAGCGUAGUCGAUGGGAAACAGGUUAAUAUUCCUGUACUUCUGGUUACUGCGAUGGAGGGACGGAGAAGGCUAGGCCAGCUUGGCGUUGGUUGUCCAAGUUUAAGGUGGUAGGCUGAAAUCUUAGGUAAAUCCGGGGUUUCAAGGCCGAGAGCUGAUGACGAGUCGUCUUUUAGAUGACGAAGUGGUUGAUGCCAUGCUUCCAAGAAAAGCUUCUAAGCUUCAGGUAACCAGGAACCGUACCCCAAACCGACACAGGUGGUCGGGUAGAGAAUACCAAGGCGCUUGAGAGAACUCGGGUGAAGGAACUAGGCAAAAUGGCACCGUAACUUCGGGAGAAGGUGCGCCGGCUAGGGUGAAGGAUUUACUCCGUAAGCUCUGGCUGGUCGAAGAUACCAGGCCGCUGCGACUGUUUAUUAAAAACACAGCACUCUGCAAACACGAAAGUGGACGUAUAGGGUGUGACGCCUGCCCGGUGCCGGAAGGUUAAUUGAUGGGGUUAGCGCAAG
rnacentral:rRNA from 1 species